rnacentral:lncRNA from 1 species
AUUAUAAGUAUGAGCUGGAAUGAAAAUCCUGAGUCAUUAAAUUAGGAGUAAGCUGGAAGAAUAAGAAGCAGGAGCUGUGAUUUAUUGGAGUAAUAGAGUAGCCGCCAAGAAAAAUAAAAUAAAAUAAACAAUAAUAAGGGCAGCUCGGUUUGGCUAAGGAGAAAAGCAGCAUGAAGGCAUAGCUGGAGUUGAACUAUAAGAAUAAAACUAAGUUAAUUCAAUCUCUCUUUCUCUUCCCUGCUCCUCCACUUGGUCUCCUUCUUGCUCAAUUUCCUGCCGAACAAGCCCAGUCCCUCUUUACCUUUCAGUUUUGCCGAAUCAAACUCAUCCCGUCUAUCCUCAGUUAGCUAGGUCCAGAUAAGUGAGUAGCAAGGUUUUAAUCAAGCUCUAGCAAAUCAAAGGAAGAGCAUACAAGGAAUUGCAAUAAAUAAGCAAGGUAACAACAAUUAAUGAUUUGUUAAUAUUACAGUGUAUGUAUAUGGUUAUCAGUUAGCAAUUAAAAUUGAUUGGGUUAAUUAUGUUAUGAGCUAUGGCCAAAUGAUUAGGCAACAAAAAUAAAGAUAUGACAGUAGGUAUAUCUUGAAUUGAGGUAAGAAACUAAAAGUUAAGCUCAUAUGGUUAUAUUUAUGCAAAACAGUUAGUUAUAAGGAAAUUCAAGUUAGUUUGGCAAAGACAGGUAAUUUAUGAAAUGGGUAAGUUAACUGACAUAAAUUGUGGUAUGUAGCAAUAAUGAUAUGUGAUAUAGCUAAUUAUUAUCAAAUGAAGUGGAGUAUACAAAGUUUACUUAAAGUUAGUAAACUAGUUAAUGCAAGUAUAUUCAUGUAUGGUCUUCGUUAAAAAUUGGAUCCUUGUGGACUGAAUAAGAGCCAUGGAGAUUAGCGUGGUUGUGCAGAGUAAUAAGGUGGGAAAAAUUGGGCUAGAACACAAACCAAGCUCUAUGAAAACUGAAUUUUAAAGCGACACACACUAUGUGUUCGCUAAAACUCCUCCAAGGACUGUUUUUGUUAAAAAAUGAAAACUAAGCGAAGCCAAGACCCGAGUUAUAUAUAUACAUAUUAUAUAUAAGUAAUUAGAAAGUUUUGGUGAAUCGAAUUAAGAGGAAACAUUUUUGAGACAAAACGAAAAGUUGAAAACUAGUUUGGCUACUGACCUUGAGGCCAAUUUCGGGACUAGUUAUAUUUCAAGAAAAAUUCUGGGUUUUUGGGGAAGUAUAGUACACUGAAUAAGGAAUUCAUAGCCUCUAGAAUGGACUAAUUCCGACCUCGGAGGAGAGAGUUAUGGCAUUCCAAAGUAAGCGUGUCGAAUCUGUCCAAAAUCUGGAAAUCAGAUUCUGACCAGCCCGUUGCACGAAUUUUCUGGAAUGUUGUGUUAUGAAUUUGAAAAUGGUCAAAGACUAAAAGUUGUAGUUCCGGAGGUUAGCUUCACGUGGGCGCAAGAAUCGCUCAAAAAUGUUUUGAAACGAAAAAAUUGUGACUGUUUUAGCGAAAGAGGGUAAAGCUGGAAAUGAAUUGUCCACUUUUGACGCACUGUUUGGGCUGCCUAAUGAACCCGAAUUGGGUAAUUCGUAUUUUUUUUAAAAAUAGUCUUACAUACCACGUAUAACAUAUUCAAAAAUGAGCGCGAUCCGACAUGCGAGCUAAAAAUGGAAAAAUUGCAAAGUAGCCGCGUCGCGGAGGGGGCUGCUGCCCACAGCAGCACACAGACAGCAGCAGCGCACAAUAGUAGUUGGCUGGGGGCUGUUUUGGCCUCUUGUUUAACGCGUCUAAAUUACCCAAAAUGUUCGGUUAGCAUUUUUUUAAAAUAGGUGGACAUACCACCUAUAGCAUAUCCAAAAUUGGUCGGGAUCGGACGAAUGAGACGGAAACUAAAAAUAUGCAAAGUGGACGUAAGAACAUGUUCGUUGGCGGCCUACGCCAAGGCCGGUCUGGCCAAGCCAAGGGCAGCCGAGCCCAGUCCGACGCCGCGAUGUGGUUUUCAUAACGAAACGCAAUAUUUGACGUCGUGGCACGUAUUUCAAGGUGGCGACACAGAUUUUGAAGUUUUUGACAGUUUCACGUAUUUUGAGGCAUCGAGGCAGAUAUAGAACGCAGUUUAAAACCUAAAUAACGUGUACAACCGUUUGAAGCAUACUAGACGCUAUAAAAGCAAUAUGUAAACAUAAGUUUACAUGUACAUGGGUAAUAUAUCCGUGAGAUGGGAUAUGUUGACGUUAAUGAAAGCUAUUCCAAAGUUAUACCUCGGAACUGAACGGUUUUCGAAAUACAAAGCGAUAAUUGUGUAAACGGAGUUGAAAAUUCAACGCUUGACAUUAAUAAGGUAUGUGUAGGUAUAAGACAUACAAAUAGCAUAUGUCUACCUACAAACCAAGCAAAUGAGGCAAUGUUUAACAUUAUAAGAGAAGCGUAUAUGCAAAAACAUAUAUGUACUUCAUGUGUACAUGAAAUGGGAAAAAGUAAUGUAAUAUGAACGCAUUAAGCCUAGAAAGCUAAUAUUCGUGUGAAAUAGUAUUUAAAUUACUCACGAAAGCGAAAAUAAGAUAGAAUUAUGCAAAGUAAAGGCACAAAUGCACUAUAUGACUAUAAGUCUACAUAUAGAUACGUGUAAAGUCUGUAAAUGCAUUAUAAAAGGGUUAUGAACUGUAAAUGUAAUGAAUUGACAUUUUAAAAGCCGUGUUGGAACUUUUUGAGAAUGUAUAGCUAUAAUAAGCCGAAACCUAAAAUAUUCUAAAGGAAUAUGAAAGUUUCUUGGAAAUAAGAAUAUCUGAUAUUGAUAUAGUUUAUGUGAAUAUUGUUAGCUAUACAGGUUAUGAGAUAUGAAUCUGUGACUAAUGUAUGUAUACAUGUGAACAUAAUUGUGUAGGAUUCGGGAAGCGAAGUUAAACUAAAGUUUGUAUCAAGGGUCAUUGAACGAGGCAAGUUUUUCAGUUCUAUUAUGUUUGUGGAUUAAAUGUGAUUAUGUGUUGAGUUACAUACCAUGCUUUAUGAAUUGUUAAAGUCAAAAUAUGACUAAGUUAAUUGGGUUAUGGAACUCAAUUUAUAUGUGAUAUGUGAUAGCACACGUUGUAUGAUGUAACUCGAUAAAUUAGAAAUGUAUAAUGCAUGAAUGUAUGCUUUGUAAGGAAUUAUUGAUGCAUGUAGGAUAUGCAUAGUAAUGAAUAUAUGUUGCAUGCGAAUAUGCAUAGUAAGGGAAAUAUUGUAGUGCAUAUGGAAUUGUGUGCUAUGUGAAACAUGAUAGACUGUUAAAUUUGUUGGGCUGUCAAGUUCAAUCUUGCAAACGCAAACUUUUUGCAGGUUAAUGAUGUUAAGCAAUAUUACUUGCUAUACGGAUGAUGAAGAUUGAACGAUGUGCAAAAUGAAUACAUUUCCUUGAAUUAGAAAUGGUAUAAAUUUAUGAUUGAUAGUUUUGUCAAAUGUAAAUGGGCAGUUAUGUAUAGUUUGAAAUGUUGAAUGGAUAAAUAAUGUUUAUUCUGAAAUGAGAAUAAAUAUGAUUCUAGUAUAAAGAAGAAUUGUAAAGGUUGCGAUUCAGGGAAUGAAUGAAUGAAAAUAAAGAAGAAAACAAAAAUUAUUCCGCAUUUUUAGCUAUUUUAACAUUAAAUAAUGUUUUAAAGCUAUAACAAGGUAGUAUUAACGCACAAGAUCGGGAAGGGAAAUGGUCCCGAUUUUGGGGUCGUUACAACAUAUUUCAUGGAAACUGUAAACUCCUUGACCAGAUUUGUACUACAUGUUGCCUUAUACCAAAAAAUAAAAUAAAAUAAGGUUCAAUGCUUUUGUCUGUUUUUUCAAUGAGUGUGUGAGCAAUACAAUAAUAUAAAUAAAACUUUAUUUCAUAAAAUGAAUGCGUAAAAUACAAUGUUCGACUAGAUAUCCUUCUGAAUACAAAGGAAUAAAGCGGGAAUUGAAUAAACCAAUAAAAAAAUAAAUAAUAUGGAGUGUCAAUAUGACUUCCCUUAUUUGUUAGAAUAAUCUAGUCAUACUCUUGUAAAAAUGAUGGGCAUAGUGUGUUUUGUUUGUAUAAGAACUUGUUUAUAUACGGAUUUUAGGCACAAGAAGCAAGUGCUGGAUUCGUGGAAUUGUUAAUCCAGAUUUCUCAGUCAUAUCUAAGUCACCAAUUGAAAUCCCACUCGGUAGCUCCCAAUCAAAGCAAUGCAACAACUGAGCCAACACAAAUUGAAUGUUGAUCAAUCCUAGCUGCAUUCCAGGGCACCCUCUUCUACCUGACCCAAAUGGUAAUAGCUGGAAAUCACGUCCUCGAAGAUCUAUUUUGCUCCUAGUAAACCUCUCAGGAAGGAAUUCUUCAACGUCUUCAGACCACACAUUAGGAUCUCGUCCUAAGGCCCAAGCAUUUACGAUUACUCGUGAUUUCUUAGGUAUGUAAUACCCGUCGAUCACAAUAUCCUCCCUAGACUCAUGAGGACCCAAUAAUGGUGCAAUAGGAUGCAGUCUUAAACCUUCUUUAACCACCAUAUAUAGGUAUUCUAACUUUGGCAGAUCAGUCUCCUCCACCAUUCGAUCAAGUCCUACAAUGGUAUUUACUUCCUCUUGACACUUUUUCAUCACCCUUGGAUGCCUUAUGAGUUCUGCUAAUAUCCAUUCGAUGGAGGUAUAUGAAGUAUCGAUCGCUGCUGUGAUAAUGUCUACCAUGAUAGAUUUAAUACCCGACCUGUCAAUUGCUUUAGCUAACUCGUGAUGGGUGCUUGUGGAAUUUUUCAUCAAUGAUAGCAUUUCAUCAACAAAGUCGGUAUUUUCCUUUUGAAGUCCAUUACUUGCGUUUUGUUCAUGCUCGUCAAUAAUUAGCUCCAACAUUUUGUCAAGUUUCUUGCCGGCUUCCUUAAAGCUUCGAGUCAAUCCCUAUAUAGAGGAAAUAUAUAUUGAGAUGCGUGUUUUGUGGUUAUUAAAAUGUUAAAAAUAUAUAUAAACAAAAUAAACUUUCUUUAAAGCUAGAGAUAUAUAUUAAUUACCUGAAGGUCAAGUGGGGCUAGGAAAGGCACAAAAUCUGCAAGAUUGAACUUUCCAGCCAACAGGAAGGCCUCAUUCAUAAUACCCUUGAGAUCAAACCUAUCAUCUUUGCUACGUCCCAAAAGCAACCUAUAAGUCAUGUUCUCAAUAAGAUCAGCCACCUUUGCACUAAUAUCCACCACCUCACAUUUAGCGGCGGCAUCCUUAAGCUCCUUCACCAAUAACCCAAGCUCCUCCUUUCUCAUCCCAACAAAAGAAUUAAUCUUUGAAGGAGCAAGAAGCUCUUGUACAACAAACUUUCUUACAUUGCGCCAGUAUGGACCGUCGGUGAAGGUGAUGCCCUUAUUACCAUAUGCCAUAUAUUCCGCGGCCUGAAACUUGGGGCGGUUAGCAAAAUGAAUGUCAUGAGUCUUGAGAAAAAGCUCGGCAGCUUGAGGGGAGGAGACUACGAUAGUUGGGACGGAACCUAAACGCAUGGACAUGAUAGGACCGUACUGCUUGGCUAACUGGUGGAGGGUGCGGUGGGGGAGGUUACCUAACAUCGGGAGGCUACCGAUAAUUGGGAAGCCUCGGGGACCUGGUGGCAGUACUUUACGGUGGCGUUUUGAAGUGGUGAUGAUCCACCAGAGUGCUCCAAGGAGAAGGAAGACAAGAGUUGAUGCCCAUGCAAACAUUUUGUGUUUUAGGGUAUCUGGUAAAUGUGUUAAUUUGAUAAAUCAAUGAUUGUGUGAUUUACAGAUACUUUAGAUCUGGCUUUAUAUAGGAAAUCCCCCGAGCAUAGUUUUGUAAAACUACUAUAUGAAGUUACCCCGUGCUCACAAACUUAGAACGUUCCCAUAUAAUAUUUUAUCUUUUUGGACAUGUGGUAAGAGAAUGUUCCUGAGUUAGAACUCUUCCGUACAUCAUGAGUUCAUUUUUAUUUAUUUAUUUAUUUUCAAGAUAAGCCUAAGAGUGAAGUCAAUGGAGGCCAUGCAUGCAGCCUCUGAUAUUGACCGCUUGUACGUACCCUCUAAACAUAGUUAUUGAUCACCCACCUACCACAAAUUUUACAUCAAUAAUCAAUAACUAUAUAUAUAAGUAAUUAAUUAAGAGAUUUUAUGCAAUAAUUUUAUAAUUUUAUAGUCGUUUUAGUUGAUUAAUUAUGUGUUAAUAUCGAGUCAUUUAUUCAUGACUAGACCUUACAAAAAAUAAUUUUACUUUGGUUAUGUGUUAUAAAAGAUGAUUAUGGUUCUCAUUAAGAACUAAUUAAAAUCAUACAAAUUGUUUUUCAAAUGGUUAUGUGUCCAACAUAGGACUUAUAUCCAUUUUUUUAAAAUUUAAAACUUACAAUUAUUAUAACCAAAUUACAUAAAUUAUUUAAUAUAUUAAUUUUUUAUAUUCGUUCAUUUCUCUCUCUAAUUUUUUUGAAAACAUUCUCUCUCUAAAAAAAUUUCCUACUCCUGGACAAUGUGAUGCUAUCACUUGGUUAUAUUUCUUAGUUAUUAACUUAUUACAUUUGUCUUUUACUAAAAAUAAUAAAAAAGAAAUUGACAAAACCGAAGUAGCUAGUAAUCCAGAACAAGUGAACAUGAAGCAACCUACAACUCAAAUUUUAUGUUCUUUUUCCCAAAUAUCAAAGAUAUGAAGAAGGAAAUACAAUAGGAAAUAUAAAAAANNNNNNNNNNNNNNNNNNNNNNNNNNNNNNNNNNNNNNNNNNNNNNNNNNNNNNNNNNNNNNNNNNNNNNNNNNNNNNNNNNNNNNNNNNNNNNNNNNNNAUCUGAGGAGUAAUAAGGUGGAAAAAGGAGGCUAGAAUACAAAUCAAACUUCAAGAAAUCUGAGCUUUAAAAAUAGUGCACACAUAGUGCUUGACAAAAGUCCUAUAUGAACUGUUUUGGUUAAAAACCAAGUAAUAGAUAAAAUCAAGGUCUGGGCUAGAUAUAUGUAUAUUAUAUGAUGAUAAUUAGAAAGAUUGGGAAAAUCAAAUUAGAACAAAAAAAAGUGUUUUUAACUCUUAACGAAAAAUUAAAAUUAGUGAGUCGGGCUACUUUUGGGCUAACUAUUUCGGCUAGUUAGACUUGCUGGAAAAUUAUAAUUUCCUGGGGUCCUAUAGUAUGCAAUCCCAGGUAGCCAUAGCCUUUGGAAUGGACUAAUUUCAUGAUCGGACGACUGAGUUAAGACAUGCCAAAGUGGGUGCGUCGAAACUGCCCAAAUUUGGAAAACAUAUUCGAAGCAGUUCCCUUGCACGAAUUUUCUGGAAUUCUGUGAUUUGAAUUUAGAAAUUGUCAAAGAAUGAAAGUUGCAGCAUCAGAAGUUAGCUUCGUGUGGGCGCAAGAAUCGCUAAAAAAUGUUUUAAAACGAAUUAGUUAUGACUGUUUUAGCGAGAGGGGGUAAAGCUGGGAAAAAGUUAAAAACUGUUAUGAACGUCCACUUUUGAUGCACUGUUUGGGCUGCCUAAUGAACCUACAUUGGGUAACUUGUAUUUUUUAAAAAUAGUCUUACAUACCAUGUCUAACAUAUUCAAAAAUGAGCGUGAUCCAUCAUGCGAGCUAAAAAUGACAAAAUUGCAAAGUAACCGCGUCGCGGAGGGGGCUGCUACCCACAGCAGCAGCAGCAGCACACAGUACAGCAGCCACACACUAUAGCAGUUUGCUGGGGCCGUUUUGGCCUCUUGUUUAACGCGUUUAAAUUACCCAAAAUGUUCGGUUAGCAAUUUUUUUAAAAAUAGGUGGACAUACCACCUAUAGCAUAUCCAAAAUUGGUCAGGAUCGCACGAAUGAGACGGAAACUAAAAAUAUGCAAAGUGGACGUAAGAACAUGUUCGUUGGCGGCCUACGCCAAGGCCAGUCUGUCCAAGCCAAGGGCAGCCAGGCCCAGUCCGACGCCGCGAUGAAGUUUUCAUAACGAAACGCAAUAUUUGACGCCGUGACACGUAUUUCAAGGUGGCAACACAUAUUUUGAAGUUUUUGACAGUUUCACGUAUUCUGAGGCAUCGAGGCGGAUAUAUAACGCAAUUUAAAACCUAUAUAACGUGUACAACCGUUUGAAGCAUACUAGACGCUAUAAAAGCAAUAUGUAAACAUAAAUUUACAUGUACAUGGGUAAUAUAUCCGUGAGAUGGGAUAUGUUGACGUUAAUGAAAGCUAUUCCAAAGUUAUACCUCGGAACUGAACGGUUUUCGAAAUACAAAGCGAUAAUUGUGUAAACGGAGUUGAAAAUUCAACGCUUGACAUUAAUAAGGUAUGUGUAGGUAUAAGACAUACAAAUAGCAUAUGUCUACCUACAAACCAAGCAAAUGAGGCAAUGUUUAACAUUAUAAGAGAAGCGUAUAUGCAAAAACAUAUAUGUACUUCAUGUGUACAUGAAAUGGGAAAAAGUAAUGUAAUAUGAACGCAUUAAGCCUAGAAAGCUAAUAUUCGUGUGAAAUAGUAUUUAAAUUACUCACGAAAGCGAAAAUAAGAUAGAAUUAUGCAAAGUAAAGGCACAAAUGCACUAUAUGACUAUAAGUCUACAUAUAGAUACGUGUAAAGUCUGUAAAUGCAUUAUAAAAGGGUUAUGAACUGUAAAUGUAAUGAAUUGACAUUUUAAAAGCCGUGUUGGAACUUUUUGAGAAUGUAUAGCUAUAAUAAGCCGAAACCUAAAAUAUUCUAAAGGGAUAUGAAAGUUUCUUGGAAAUAAGAAUAUCAGAUAUUGCUAUAGUUUACGUGAAUAUUGUUAGCUAUACAGGUUAUGAGAUAUGAAUCUGUGACUAAUGUAUGUAUACAUGUGAACAUAAUUGUAUAGGAUUCGGGAAGCGAAGUUAAACUAAAGUUUGUAUCAA